UUUUACUCCCCCGGGGUAGAAAAGUAUAUCAAUAAGACGGAGGAAAAGAAACCAACCGGGAUUGCCUUAGUAACGGCGAGUGAAGCGGCAAAAGCUCAAAUUUGAAAUCUGGCGUCUUCGACGUCCGAGUUGUAAUUUGAAGAAGGCGACUUUGUAGCUGGUCCUUGUCUAUGUUCCUUGGAACAGGACGUCAUAGAGGGUGAGAAUCCCGUGUGGCGAGGAUCCCAGUUAUUUUGUAAAGUGCUUUCGACGAGUCGAGUUGUUUGGGAAUGCAGCUCUAAGUGGGUGGUAAAUUCCAUCUAAAGCUAAAUAUUGGCGAGAGACCGAUAGCGAACAAGUACAGUGAUGGAAAGAUGAAAAGAACUUUGAAAAGAGAGUGAAAAAGUACGUGAAAUUGUUGAAAGGGAAGGGCAUUUGAUCAGACAUGGCGUUUGCUUCGGCUUUCGCUGGGCCAGCAUCAGUUUUAGCGGUUGGAUAAAUCCUCGGGAAUGUGGCUCUGCUUCGGUAGAGUGUUAUAGCCCGUGGGAAUACAGCCAGCUGGGACUGAGGAUUGCGACUUUUGUCAAGGAUGCUGUCGUAAUGGUUAAAUGCCGCCCGCGAAAAAAAAACAAAAAAAAAAAA
rnacentral:rRNA from 1 species